AUGCAUUGGUGGGCUUGGUGGAAACUGUUCUUUCCAAAGAAGGAAGGAGGAAUGGGCUUCCGUGGCCUCCAUUCUUUUAAUCAGGCGAUAUUGGCAAAGCAAUGUUGGAGGCUACUUGAUGAUACAAAAUCUUUAUGUCCUAGGAUCCUCCGAGCAAAGUACUACCCUUUAGGUGACCUUCUCUCAGCUACCAAAAAAGGUUCUUCCUUUACAUGGCAGAGUAUCUUCGCAUGCAUUCAAACAUUUAAACGUGGCCAUAUAUGGAGGAUUGGAAAUGGUGAAAAGCUAAAUGUUUGGAAUGAUCACUGGAUACCCACUAGUCCGUCGAGGAAAGUUAUUACACCAAGGAAUGGAGUACUGAUCACCAAAGUAAGCGAGUUAAUUGACCCUACGACUGAAACAUGGGAUGAAGAGCUUAUAUGGGAUAUAUUUAACCCAGUUGAUGUUAACCGCAUCCUGCAAGUUCCUUUGAUCUACAACUCUUUUGAGGAUUUUGUCACCUAG
rnacentral:rRNA from 1 species